GAUGAAGAACGUAGCGAAAUGCGAUAAGUAAUGUGAAUUGCAGAAUUCAGUGAAUCAUCGAAUCUUUGAACGCACAUUGCGCCCCUUGGUAUUCCGAGGGGCAUGCCUGUUCGAGCGUCAUUAUAACCCUCAAGCUCAGCUUGGUGUUGGGGCCUGCUGCACUGGCAGCCCUUAAAAUCAGUGGCGGCGCCAUCUGGCUCUAAGCGUAGUAAUUCUUCUCGCUACGGAGUCCUGGUGGAUGCUUGCCAUCAACCCCCAAUUUUUCUAUGGUUGACCUCGGAUCAGGUAGGGAUACCCGCUGAACUUAAGCAUAUCAAUAAGCGGAGGA
rnacentral:misc_RNA from 1 species